rnacentral:rRNA from 1 species
UACGUAGGGUCCGAGCGUUGUCCGGAAUUAUUGGGCGUAAAGGGCUCGUAGGCGGUCUGUUGCGUCGGGAGUGAAAACUUACAGCUUAACUGUGAGCGUGCUUCCGAUACGGGCAGACUUGAGGUAUUCAGGGGAGAACGGAAGUUCCUGGUGUAGCGGUGAAAUGACGUAGAUAUCGAGAGGAACACCUGCGGCGAAGGCGGGUUGCUGGGCUGACACUGACGCUGAUGCGCGAAAGCCAGGGGAGCGAACGGG